GGGUCGUUAGCUCAGCUGGUAGAGCAGGGGACUCUUAAUCCUCAGGUCACAGGUUCGAUCCCUGUACGGCCCACCA
rnacentral:tRNA from 1 species